rnacentral:rRNA from 1 species
UGGGGAAUAUUGCACAAUGGGCGAAAGCCUGAUGCAGCAACGCCGCGUGAGGGAUGAAGGCCUUCGGGUUGUAAACCUCUUUUAGCAGGGAAGAAGCGAAAGUGACGGUACCUGCAGAAAAAGCACCGGCUAACUACGUGCCAGCAGCCGCGGUAAUACGUAGGGUGCAAGCGUUGUCCGGAAUUAUUGGGCGUAAAGAGCUCGUAGGCGGUUUGUCGCGUCUGCUGUGAAAAUCCGAGGCUCAACCUC